rnacentral:misc_RNA from 1 species
GCUAGUUGCAGAACCAGGAAAUGCACCAUGAAUGCGUUUUUCCAAUUGUAAGUGACAUAUACAUUUCACAAACUGUCAGAUCAUAGUCGUGUAAAAUGGGAAAUACUUCAGCCGUUGCCGAUGGUGUGAAAAAGCAAGGUGACAGUGGUUGUAAGGAAUUAUAUGGGCUGGUUGAUCUAAAAGGAGGCGGGAGUUUAGUGGAAUUGAUGAAGAAAGCAAAAUGGACAAAAGACUACGACCCACUUGAUGAAGCAUUAAAAACAGAAGUAGUAAACUAUUUAAUUAAAGGAGGGGAGGGAGAAUGUGUGCCAAUUUCCGAGUUAGUGAAAGCCAGAAGCAAAGAAGCUGGCCGCCGCACGAAGUCGAAAACCAACGAUGAAAAGAGCCAGCAUCAUGACAAAUCAUGGAAAUGUGCAGUUUUACCAAAAACCGCUGUGAUUGACUUGGAGAGGUCAGGAGAAAAUUAUUUGAAAAAGAAAUCAGAAAAGAAGCGUAAAAUAUGUUGGGACAGAAACAAACGUGGGACAGUGGGAGAAUCCAUACUACAUCUGUGUCUUCUGAAUGCAACCACACUUCUUGCCGAUUUGGCAAAACGUCUUAUCCAGAAAUAUCCUAAUCUUGUUAAUGACAUCUACCUUGGAGACGAAUACUAUGGGGAGAGUGCCCUGCACAUGGCAAUAAGCAAUGAGGAUCCAGCAAUGGUGAAGUUCCUCCUGGACAACGAUGCCGACUGCCAUGAGCGAUGCUGUGGCAACUUCUUCUGUCCUGAUGACCAGAAGGGUUCCAGGUCCGACACGUUUGAGCAUGAGUGGGUGGAGGUUUGUGAGAACACUAAUUAUGAAGGCCAUGUUUACUUUGGUGAAUACCCACUGAGCUUUGCAGCAUGUCUUGGACAAGAGGAAUGUGUGCGACUUCUGCUAGCCAAGAAGGUCAAUGUCAACCUUCAGGAUACCAAUGGCAACACUGUUAUGCACAUGCUUGUUAUUCAUUCCAAAAAGGCUAAUUCUAAAAUCUUGGAAAUAUUUGACUUGCUGCACAAGCAUGAAGGCCGACUGGACAUCAAAAACAGGCAGGGUCUUACCCCGCUGACACUCGCAGCUAAACUUUCUUGUAAAGAGGUGUAUGACCAUAUCCUGGAAAUACAGCGAGAAGUACACUGGAUGUAUGGCAAUACAAAAUGUGCAAGCUAUCCUCUUAAGGACAUCGACACCAUAUCAGCAACAGGCGAAAUCAACAAAAAUUCUGCUCUCAAUCUUAUUGUGUAUGGGGAUGAGGAAGGACAUCUGGACAUGAUGGAUGGGCUUGUGGUGAAUCUGCUGAAAGAAAAAUGGAAGACCUUUGCAAAAUACAGGUUUUACAGGAGGUUUGGGAUUUUUGCCAUCUAUUUUGUUUGUUUUAUGAUAUCAUUCAUAUUGCGGCCUGGGAGAGACCUGUGUGCAUCUGGUGAUGUCAACAAAACGAAAGAUCUUGAAAAUUGUGACCAGGCCAGAACACUGAACAAAACUGUUGAUCCAUGCUACCUGCUGAAGCUUUACAGAGUCAAUGACAAGGCACGGCUGGGUUUGGAAGCAGUUGUUCUUUUUGGUGCUGUUAUCUAUAUAUUUUUGGCAAUGAAGGAAAUAUACCAUCAGGGGUUCCAAAUAUUUUUCACUACAUUGAAAGGUGCCCCAGCCAAAGCCUUGUUUCUUAUAUCCUGUGUGCUAGUUGUCAUGAUGCUGCCCGGCCGAGCAUUUUGUUUUCAUGAUUAUGAAGAUAUCGUUGGUGUUCUCGCAAUACUGUGUACUGCUCCAUACUUCCUUUUCUUCUGCAGAGGGUUUGCUAUAGUGGGACCUUUUGUGGUGAUGAUCUACAACAUGAUACGUGGUGACCUGCUGCGAUUCUUCAUCAUUUACGCCAUCUUCGUCAUUGGUUUCUCACAAGCCAUGUACAUUGUUUUCAGAGACACCGAAAAAUCUGCUUUUAAAAAUCCAGGGGAGGCAAUUAUGAACAUGUUUGUUAUGUCACUUGGCCAGUUUGCAGAUUUCUAUGACUCGUUUAGUGACACAAAACAUCCUAUAAUGGGAAAACCAUGUUUAUACCUUUUCGUAAAAUGGACAGUGUUUUUUCUGACCCCUUAGACUGCAUUGUGGGAAUGUUUUCGAUGUCAGUGGGAGAUUUUGAUGAUUUGUUUGCUGAAUUUUUAAGGCUUCCUUCCCCAUUCAAAGAAGUAGCACAAAUUGUGUUUGUGAUCUACAUGAUCAUGGUGACCCUCCUGUUGGUGAACAUGUUGAUAGCCAUGAUGGGGAACACAUACCAGCUCGUUAAUGAGAAGCAGAAAGAAUGGUUUAGACAG